UCGNUACUACCGAUUGAAUGGCUCAGUGAGGCCUCCGGAUUGGNUUAGGAAAGGGGGCAACCUCAUUCUGGAACCGAGAAGCUUGGUCAAACUUGGUCAUUUAGAGGAAGUAAAAGUCGUAACAAGGUUUCCGUAGGUGAACCUGCGGAAGGAUCAUUACUGAUUUGCUUAAUUGCACCACAUGUGUUUUUCUUUGAAACAAACUUGCUUUGGCGGUGGGCCCAGCCUGCCGCCAGAGGUCUAAACUUACAACCAAUUUUUUAUCAACUUGUCACACCAGAUUAUUACUAAUAGUCAAAACUUUCAACAACGGAUCUCUUGGUUCUCGCAUCGAUGAAGAACGCAGCGAAAUGCGAUACGUAAUAUGAAUUGCAGAUAUUCGUGAAUCAUCGAAUCUUUGAACGCACAUUGCGCCCUCUGGUAUUCCGGAGGGCAUGCCUGUUUGAGCGUCGUUUCUCCCUCAAACCGCUGGGUUUGGUGUUGAGCAAUACGACUUGGGUUUGCUUGAAAGACGGUAGUGGUAAGGCGGGAUCGCUUUGACAAUGGCUUAGGUCUAACCAAAAACAUUGCUUGCGGCGGUAACGUCCACCACGUAUAUCUUCAAACUUGACCUCAAAUCAGGUGGACUACCCGCUGAACUUAAGCAUAUCAAUAAGCGGCACGACCCCNCCC
rnacentral:misc_RNA from 1 species